rnacentral:rRNA from 1 species
UUCCAGGAAAAGCCUCUAAGCUUCAGAUUGUAAGGAAUCGUACCCCAAACCGACACAGGUGGUCGGGUAGAGAAUACCAAGGCGCUUGAGAGAACUCGGGUGAAGGAACUAGGCAAAAUGGUACCGUAACUUCGGGAGAAGGUACGCUCUCGACGGUGAAGUCCCUCGCGGAUGGAGCUAUUGAGAGUCGCAGAUACCAGGUGGCUGCAACUGUUUAUUAAAAACACAGCACUGUGCAAAAUCGUAAGAUGACGUAUACGGUGUGACGCCUGCCCGGUGCCGGAAGGUUAAUUGAUGGGGUUAGACUUCGGUCGAAGCUCUUGAUCGAAGCCCCGGUAAACGGCGGCCGUAACUAUAACGGUCCUAAGGUAGCGAAAUUCCUUGUCGGGUAAGUUCCGACCUGCACGAAUGGCGUAAUGAUGGCCACGCUGUCUCCACCCGAGACUCAGUGAAAUUGAAAUCGCUGUGAAGAUGCAGUGUACCCGCGGCUAGACGGAAAGACCCCGUGAACCUUUACUACAGCUUGGCACUGAACAUUGACCCUACAUGUGUAGGAUAGGUGGGAGGCUUUGAAGCACGUACGCCAGUAUGUGUGGAGCCGUCCUUGAAAUACCACCCUUGUAGUGUUGAUGUUCUAACGUCGACCCCUUAUCGGGGUUGCGGACAGUGCCUGGUGGGUAGUUUGACUGGGGCGGUCUCCUCCCAAAGAGUAACGGAGGAGCACGAAGGUGGGCUAAUCACGGUUGGACAUCGUGAGGUUAGUGCAAUGGCAUAAGCCCGCUUGACUGCGAGAAUGACAAUUCGAGCAGGUGCGAAAGCAGGUCAUAGUGAUCCGGUGGUUCUGAAUGGAAGGGCCAUCGCUCAACGGAUAAAAGGUACUCCGGGGAUAACAGGCUGAUACCGCCCAAGAGUUCAUAUCGACGGCGGUGUUUGGCACCUCGAUGUCGGCUCAUCACAUCCUGGGGCUGAAGUCGGUCCCAAGGGUAUGGCUGUUCGCCAUUUAAAGUGGUACGCGAGCUGGGUUUAGAACGUCGUGAGACAGUUCGGUCCCUAUCUGCCGUGGGCGUUGGAAGAUUGAAGGGGGCUGCUCCUAGUACGAGAGGACCGGAGUGGACGAACCUCUGGUGUUCGGGUUGUGUCGCCAGACGCAUUGCCCGGUAGCUAAGUUCGGAAUCGAUAACCGCUGAAAGCAUCUAAGCGGGAAGCGAGCCCUGAGAUGAGUCUUCCCUGAUACUUUAAGUAUCCUAAAGGGUUGUCGGAGACUACGACGUUGAUAGGUCAGGUGUGUAAGUGCUGUGAGGCAUUGAGCUAACUGAUACUAAUUGCCCGU